UACGUAGGGGGCAAGCGUUGUCCGGAAUCAUUGGGCGUAAAGCGCGCGUAGGCGGCCCGGUAAGUCCGCUGUGAAAGUCCAGGGCUCAACCCUGGGAUGCCGGUGGAUACUGUCGGGCUCGAGUCCGGAAGAGGCGAGUGGAAUUCCUGGUGUAGCGGUGGAAUGCGUAGAGAUCCGGAGGAAGACCGGUGGCGAAGGCGGUCUGCUGGGCAGUUUCUGACACUGAGGCGCGAAAGCGUGGGGAGCAAACAGG
rnacentral:rRNA from 1 species